CAGCAGUAGCCACGGUAAUGCGUAGGUGGCAAGCGUUGUCCGGAAUUAUUGGGCGUAAAGGGCUCGCAGGCGGUUUCUUAAGUCUGAUGUGAAAGCCCCUGGCUCAACCGGGGAGGGUCAUUGGAAACUGGGAAACUUGUGUGCAGAAGAGGAGAGUGGAAUUCCACGUGUAGCGGUGAAAUGCGUAGAGAUGUGGAGGAACACCAGUGGCGAAGGCGACUCUCUGGUCUGUAACUGACGCUGAGGAGCGAAAGCGUGGGGAGCGAACAGGAUUAGAUACCCCAGUAGUCCCUGUCUCUUAUAC
rnacentral:rRNA from 1 species